UGGGGAAUAUUGGACAAUGGGCGCAAGCCUGAUCCAGCAAUGCCGCGUGUGUGAAGAAGGCCUUCGGGUUGUAAAGCACUUUUAUCAGGAACGAAAAGUCUUCGGUUAAUACCCGGGGAUGCUGACGGUACCUGAGGAAUAAGCACCGGCUAACUUCGUGCCAGCAGCCGCGGUAAUACAGAGGUCCCAAGCGUUGUUCGGAUUCACUGGUGGUAAAGGGUGCGUAGGUGGUGAGGUAAGUCGGAUGUGAAAGCUCCGAGCUCAACUCGGAAAUGGCAUUGGAAACUACCUUGCUCGAGGGUUUGAGGGGGGACUGGAAUACUUGGUGUAGCAGUGAAAUGCGUAGAUAUCAAGUGGAACACCAGUGGCGAAGGCGAGUCCCUGGAAAACUCCUGACACUGAGGCACGAAAGCUAGGGGAGCAAA
rnacentral:rRNA from 1 species